rnacentral:sRNA from 1 species
GUGAUGCCUCCCCCUCGUGUUCACUGGCUGCAGCCCUGCAGGGUGGGCCCUACUAGACCGGCUAUUGGCUGCAAGAUAGGUUAUUUGCAUAUGGGGCGGGGUAACCGGACCCAAUUGGGGCCCGCCUUGGGUGUGAGUGUGGCCACUGCCGCCACUGAAGUUGAUCCAAGAGCUGGCUAUGGCCCUGCGCCGGGGUCGCAGGUUCCAGGUUGUGCAGUCCCAAGAAGAGCCACUGUCGAAGUCAUCAAGCCCAGAAACUCUGGGCAGGCACAGAUGUGAGCCUCAGCCAACAGAACCAGAGCCUACAGGACCCACCUCCUGAGGGCCAACUCCAGGAAGACAGUGGCAGCUUGAAUGUUUCUGCCUGUUUCUGCCACUUUCAGUGAGGGCGUCAGUACCAUGGAUCUCACAGGCUCCUGGGACAGGCCUUUCCUGUCCACCUGAAAGUGGAAAAGGUUAUCCAGGGAAGCUAUAGUCCAGGACAUCUGUAGCCAGUCCAGUCCCUGAAGAUGGAGGUUUAGUUUCUAGACUGACAUUGGCAUCAAACUGAGAGUGCUCUGCAGAUGGGGAGGGUUAUGGAGCCUCUGGGUGGAGAAACUGUGAAGCUGACUGUUGUUGGUGAGCUACUUGCUGGAGAGAUCCUCUGAACUAGGGUUUUUUUUUACUUCUUUGCUAAAAAACAACAAGGCCACUGAGACUAGGUGGGAGCCUAGCAGAGCCUGGCCCUGACCUCUGGCUGGAUUGCCUAGACAAGGCUACCUCACACUGACAGCUGGUAAGGUCCUUACAUCAUUCCGCCAGGUCCUGCCCUGCCAGGGACCAGACAUUUGUGGGCAGCUUGUCUGUUCUUUGCUUCAGCAUACAUCACACCAUUGUUUCCAAAGUAAAGUUACAAAAUUGCAAA